GCCACUGUGGUGUAAUGGCUAACACAUCUGCCUCGUAAGCAGGAGACCUAGGUUCAGGUCCUGGCUGUGGCA